AUCUCUUUCCACCAUGGCCUAGCACCCAGUUCGUCAAGUUGUGCAAGGAGAAUUCACUCGAGGCAGAGAGGAGCGGAGCCCUGGGCUGCCCGGCACCAACCUGCCUCCUCGCCUCGAUGCGGGGUCGCCUGUGGUCAUGGCACCCAAACUGCCUUCCUGAUGCUGACAGUCCCCACUGAAAAGUCACAAGGGCAGAGCCCGACUUCCCGCACGCGUGAAGAUGAGGACGUAAACUGAUCCAAACAACUCAAGAUUAAUUUGACAUUAUUCAAGCAUCAGUUAUAUGUGCUGGUUUCUCUUCCGAUCGCAUUAAGACAAAUGGGAGAAUUCUCUGCCUCCCAGAAACGAAUCUGUCCAGCGUGAUCUCAACCCUUAAAGUUGAACAAACACUCUUCAAAACCAUGAGGAGUCAGUUGGCCCAGUUGGGUCUUUCCGGUUGGAAGAUGAAUAAGCAAAGAGCCUCUGACAUUUCGUUUCACUGACAUUUUAUUUUGUUCUAAGUCCUUUUUUUUCUGUUCCCUCAAGUACAUUUUCUGCUAAGAUUCUGCAAACAGACAUCAGAAUGAGUCAGAACCCACUUAAAUGUAUUGAGCCUCACAGGUUUGGCGAUUUAAUUACAUGUUUGAGGGGGUUUAUAAAUAGCGUUCGAUCUGCCUGUGCGUCAGAUACCUACUAGGCAGUGGUCGCGGUGUCCCUGGGUCUGCGUCCUGAACGUCGGGCGGCCCUCGGGACGCCGCAGGAUGAAGAGUCAAGGCACGUACACACUUGCUGUAGGAAUGUGCAAAGAUUGGGAUUUGGUUACCCCCGGGAAGGGCUUUAUCUUCUAGAGAGUUCCCGGACGAGGGGCUCAGUGUAUGGUGAGAAAGCACCUGGGGAGGAAACACCACCAGUCGCAGGUUGACACUGGGCCCGGCCCGCCUUGAAGCUGAGCCCAGCAAAGGGACCCACGGUCGUCCAGGCUCCCGGGGAAAGCCAAGGUGCCGUCCGGAGGAAGGAACAGAGUAGCUGACGGCAGGAGGGUCUGCAGCUUGCCGUCGGGAGCCCCGUCACCCGGGAGACCCCAGACACCAGACGCAGACUGAGUCCUAACAGAAAAGGCCACUCGCACCACGCAGGCAGAGAAGCGGCACAGUUGAUGCCUGGUUCUGAGCAAGGAAUGUGGGUGUCUGAUCGUCCUCCGGCCCGGAGACAGGACUGCCGCUGGCGGUAGCAGGACUGAACUUGCAAAGGAAGGUUC
rnacentral:lncRNA from 1 species